rnacentral:rRNA from 1 species
AUACGUAGGUGACAAGCGUUAUCCGGAUUUACUGGGCGUAAAGGGCGUGUAGGCGGUCUUGCAAGUCAGAAGUGAAAUUCCUGAGCUCAACUCGGGCGCUGCUUCUGAAACUGCAGGACUUGAGUGCUGGAGGGGAUAGCGGAAUUCCUAGUGGAGCGGUAAAAUGCGCAGAUAUUAGGAAGAACACCGGUGGCGAGGGCGGCUAUCUGGACAGUAACUGACGCUGAGGCGCGAAAGCGUGGGGAGCAAACAGGAUUAGAUACCCUGGUAGUCCACGCUGUAAACGAUGAAUACUAGGUGUAGGGGGUAUCGACUCCCUCUGUGCCGCAGUUAACACAAUAAGUAUUCCGCCUGGGGAGUACGGCCGCAAGGUUGAAACUCAAAUGAAUUGGCGGGG